rnacentral:rRNA from 1 species
AUUGAACGCUGGCGGCAGGCCUAACACAUGCAAGUCGAGCGGAUGAAGGGAGCUUGCUCCUGGAUUCAGCGGCCGACGGGUGAGUAAUGCCUAGGAAUCUGCCUGGUAGUGGGGGAUAACGUCAGGAAACGGGCGCUAAUACCGCAUACGUCCUGAGGGAGAAAGUGAGGGAUCUUCAGACCUCACGCUAUCAGAUGAGCCUAGGUCGGAUUAGCUAGUUGGUGGGGUAAAGGCCUACCAAGGCGACGAUCCGUAACUGGUCUGAGAGGAUGAUCAGUCACACUGGAACUGAGACACGGUCCAGACUCCUACGGGAGGCAGCAGUGGGGAAUAUUGGACAAUGGGCGAAAGCCUGAUGCAGCCAUGCCGCGUGUGUGAAGAAGGUCUUCGGAUUGUAAAGCACUUUAAGUUGGGAGGAAGGGCAGUAAGUUAAUACCUUGCUGUUUUGACGUUACCAACAGAAUAAGCACCGGCUAACUUCGUG